rnacentral:rRNA from 1 species
GACGAACGCUGGCGGCACGCCUAACACAUGCAAGUCGAACGGACUUAAAAGAGCUUGCUUUUUUAAGUUAGUGGCGGACGGGUGAGUAACACGUGAGCAACCUGCCUCUGAGAGGGGGAUAGCUUCUGGAAACGGAUGGUAAUACCCCAUAAAAUAUAAAUAUCGUAUGAUAGAUAUAUCAAAGAAAUUCGCUCAGAGAUGGGCUCGCGUCUGAUUAGAUAGUUGGUGAGGUAACGGCUCACCAAGUCGACGAUCAGUAGCCGGACUGAGAGGUUGAACGGCCACAUUGGGACUGAGACACGGCCCAGACUCCUACGGGAGGCAGCAGUGGGGAAUAUUGCACAAUGGAGGGAACUCUGAUGCAGCGAUGCCGCGUGGAGGAAGAAGGUUUUCGGAUUGUAAACUCCUUUUAUCAGGGACGAUAAUGACGGUACCUGAAGAAAAAGCUCCGGCUAACUACGUG